AUUGAACGCUGGCGGCAUGACCUUACACAUGACAAGUCGAACGGCAAGCACGGGGGCAACCCUGGUGGCGAGUGGCGAACGGGUGAGUAAUACAUCGGAACGUGUCCAGUAGUGGGGAUAGCCCGGCGAAAGCCGGAUUAAUACCGCAUACGACCCACGGGUGGAAAGCGGGGGAUCGCAAGACCUACGCGGCUAUGGGAGCGGCCG
rnacentral:rRNA from 1 species